rnacentral:rRNA from 1 species
UACGUAGGGGGCUAGCGUUGUCCGGAUUUAUUGGGCGUAAAGAGCGUGUAGGCGGCCAGAUAGGUCUGCUGUGAAAACUCGAGGCUCAACCUCGAGAUGUCGGCGGAAACCAUUUGGCUAGAGUCCGGAAGAGGAAAGUGGAAUUCCUGGUGUAGCGGUGAAAUGCGCAGAUAUCGGGAGGAACACCAAUGGCGAAGGCAGCUCGCUGGGACGUGACUGACGCUGAGACGCGAAAGCGUGGGGAGCAAACAGG